rnacentral:rRNA from 1 species
UACGUGGGGGGCAAGCGUUGUUCGGAAUUACUGGGCGUAAAGGGCUCGUAGGCGGCCAACUAAGUCAGACGUGAAAUCCCCAGGCUUAACCUGGGAACUGCGUCUGAUACUGGAUGGCUUGAAUUCGGGAGAGGGAUGCAGAAUUCCAGGUGUAGCGGUGAAAUGCGUAGAUAUCUGGAGGAAUACCGGUGGCGAAGGCGGCAUCCUGGACCGAGAUUGACGCUGAUGAGCGAAAGCUAGGGGAGCAAACGGG